AGUGAACGCUGGCGGUAGGCCUAACACAUGCAAGUCGAACGGCAGCACAGUAAGAGCUUGCUCUUACGGGUGGCGAGUGGAGGACGGGUGAGGAAUACAUCGGAAUCUACUUUUUCGUGGGGGAUAACGUAGGGAAACUUACGCUAAUACCGCAUACGACCUACGGGUGAAAGCAGGGGAUCUUCGGACCUUGCGCGAUCGAAUGAGCCGAUGUCGGACUAGCUAGUUGGCGGGGUAAAGGCUCACCAAGGGGACGAUCCGUAGCUGGUCUGAGAGGAUGAUCAGCCACACUGGAACUGAGACACGGUCCAGACUCCUACGGGAGGCAGCAGUGGGGAAUAUUGGACAAUGGGCGCAAGCCUGAUCCAGCCAUACCGCGUGGGUGAAGAAGGCCUUCGGGUUGUAAAGCCCUUUUGUUGGGAAGGAAAAGCAGCAGGUUAAUACACCGCUGUUAUGACGGUACCCAAAGAAUAAACACCGGCUAACUUCGUG
rnacentral:rRNA from 1 species